rnacentral:rRNA from 1 species
CCUACGGGAGGCAGCAGUGAGGAAUAUUGGUCAAUGGGCGAGAGCCUGAACCAGCCAAGUCGCGUGAGGGAAGAAUGGUCUAUGGCCUGUAAACCUCUUUUGUCAAGGAAGAAUAAGCGGCACGAGUGCCACCUUGCCAGUACUUGACGAAUAAGCAUCGGCUAACUCCGUGCCAGCAGCCGCGGUAAUACGGGGGAUGCGAGCGUUAUCCGGAUUUAUUGGGUUUAAAGGGCGCGUAGGCGGGACGGCAAGUCAGCGGUAAAAGACUGCAGCUAAACUGUAGCACGCCGUUGAAACUGUCGACCUGGAGACGAGACGAGGGAGGCGGAACAAGUGAAGUAGCGGUGAAAUGCAUAGAUAUCACUUGGAACCCCGAUAGCGAAGGCAGCUUCCCAGGCUCGGUCUGACGCUGAUGCGCGAGAGC